rnacentral:misc_RNA from 1 species
AGCAAGACCGACCCGACACCCGACGGGUCCACGACGACGUUGAUGUAUCUUGUUGGAGAUCGGACGAAGAUUUUCUCGCGUUAGUUGUGUUUUUGUGCAAUUUUGUCUGUGGAAAAGUGCUUUUGGAUUGUGGAAAUUUGCAGAAUUCUGGUAAACGGUGCUGAUCGAUUUGUACGAUGAGUUAUCAAUUACCACCGCAAAAUCGAACGAUGCCGCACAAUCAGUAUAAUCCGCCCGAUCUACCCAUGGCGUCUGCCAAGGAACAGACACUCAUGUGGCAACAGAAUUCAUAUCUAUGUGAUUCUGGAAUACAUUCGGGCGCUGUCACUCAAGUGCCAUCAUUGAGCGGCAAAGAAGACUUAGAAGAUAUGGAAGGUGAUCCUCUAAUGUUCGAUUUAGAUCAAGGAUUCCCACAGAAUUUCACUCAAGACCAAGUGGAUGAUAUGAAUCAACAGUUGAGUCAGACACGCUCUCAGCGUGUUCGAGCUGCUAUGUUUCCAGAAACAUUGGAGGAAGGCAUUGAGAUCCCAUCAACACAAUACGAUCCACAGCAGCCAACUGCAGUUCAACGUUUAGCCGAACCGUCGCAAAUGCUUAAGCAUGCAGUUGUGAAUUUGAUCAAUUAUCAAGAUGAUGCUGAGCUUGCUACACGAGCUAUUCCUGAAUUGAUAAAAUUGUUAAACGACGAGGAUCAAGUAGUUGUUUGUAACGCUGCUAUGAUGGUACAUCAAUUAUCAAAGAAAGAGGCUUCCCGACAUGUUAUCAUGAAUAGCCCACAAAUGGUUGCAGCUUUGGUAAGAGCUAUCGCGAACAGUAACGAUUUGGAAACGACAAAAGGGGCCGUCGGAACGCUACACAAUUUAUCUCACCACAGCCAAGGUCUUUUGGCUAUAUUUAAAAGUGGAGGAAUUCCGGCCCUUGUGAAGCUACUCUCGUCUCCAGUUGAAGCGGUUUUGUUUUAUGCUAUAACGACUUUGCAUAAUCUAUUGCUGCAUCAAGAUGGUUCGAAAAUGGCAGUUCGUUUAGCCGGUGGUCUUCAAAAGAUGGUGACACUUUUGCAAAGGAACAAUGUGAAAUUCUUGGCUAUUGUGACAGACUGCUUGCAAAUUCUAGCGUAUGGUAAUCAGGAGAGCAAAUUGAUUAUUCUAGCAUCUGGAGGACCACAUGAACUUGUACGAAUCAUGCGCACAUAUGACUAUGAGAAGUUGCUUUGGACAACAUCACGUGUAUUGAAAGUUUUGUCGGUAUGCUCGAGCAAUAAACCUGCAAUUGUGGAUGCAGGGGGUAUGCAAGCGUUAGCCAUGCAUUUGAGUAAUCCAUCGCAGCGUCUAGUGCAGAAUUGUUUGUGGACUCUCCGUAAUUUAUCAGAUGCAGCAACGAAAGUGGAAGGAUUAGAUGGCCUGUUGCAUAGCUUAGUGCAAGUGUUAGCAUCGACAGAUGUUAACGUUGUAACUUGUGCUGCAGGCAUCCUUUCAAAUUUGACAUGUAAUAAUCAACGUAAUAAGGGUACCGUUUGUCAAGUUGGCGGAGUUGAUGCUCUGGUUCGAACCAUCAUUAAUGCUGGCGAUCGCGAAGAAAUCACAGAACCAGCUGUUUGCGCAUUAAGACACUUGACAUCACGUCAUAUCGAUUCAGAGAUGGCACAAAACGCGGUGCGUUUGAAUUACGGUUUAUCAGUGAUUGUGAAACUUCUCCAAUCUCCAUCGCGUUGGCCAUUGAUUAAGGCAGUUAUUGGAUUAAUUCGUAAUUUGGCUUUAUGCCCGGCAAAUCAUGCACCGCUGCGAGAACAUGGAGCUAUACAUCAGUUGGUUAGGUUGUUGAUGAGAGCCUAUCAGGAUAUUGAAAGGCAACGUUCUUCAGUAGCAAGCACAGGAUCGCAACAGCCUAGCGCUUACGCUGACGGAGUAAGAAUGGAGGAGAUCGUUGAAGGCACUGUUGGUGCUUUGCAUAUUUUGGCAAGAGAAUCACAUAAUCGUGCAUUGAUUCGUCAACAAGCUGUCAUUCCUAUCUUCGUGCGAUUGUUAUUCAAUGAAAUUGAGAAUAUUCAGCGUGUCGCUGCCGGUGUACUUUGCGAGUUGGCUGCCGAUAAAGAAGGAGCUGAAAUUAUUGAGCAAGAAGGCGCUACUGGCCCGUUGACUGAUUUACUUCAUUCCCGAAAUGAAGGGGUUGCCACAUACGCUGCAGCCGUUCUGUUUCGCAUGAGCGAAGACAAGCCACAAGAUUAUAAGAAACGUUUAUCCAUCGAGCUCACAAAUUCCCUCUUGCGUGAAGAUAACAAUAUCUGGAACAAUGAUUUGGGAAUGGGGCCUGAUUUACAGGACAUGCUUGGCCCCGAUCAAGCAUAUGAGGGCUUGUAUGGACAAGGGCCUCCAAGCGUUCAUAGCUCGCAUGGUGGUCGGGCAUUUCAGCAAGCUAAGCCAGCCUAACAUAUAUCAUCACUAAAUCGUAAAUCGAAUCGAGUUGGUUCGUCGGAAAAAUAAUCAAAUAAUAGUAGUAGGACAGACAAAAAAGUAAAAGUGUAUGCAGAUAAACAGACAAAAAAUAUAAACUUAAAAAGCAGUAUCUUGUGGAGUAAAACAUUUAACUAAAUAUCUCAAAUCAACAUAGAAACCUUCAAACAGAUAAACAACAAAAAAAGUAUGAAAAAAACCUAGUCUACGUAAUUUUAUAAUCAGUUUUGUCUUUCUGUGAAUUCUGAAACUUACGUACGUAAUUUGUAAAUUGAAUCGAGAGCAAAGAAGCGUAUUAAAGGCAAAAUACAAUUAUAGGAUAUGAUACAUUACCGAUAGAUUCAAUGCAAGGUUUGGAGAUAGGAGGCGCUGGUGGAGGCGGAAAUGGGCCGCCAGGAGGUGCACCAACCUCACCAUAUGCUAUGGAUAUGGAUGUUGGCGAGAUGGGAGCGGGC